UCUAGGGAUGUGUAUACUGUCACUUUUCAAGUAAUAGCUCUCAGAUCUCAUUCAGAAAUAAACUCUUCCUAACCACAACAUACGAAUACUAAUCAGCAUAGGUAUGGGAUGGAGUUUAGGACUCCUAUAUCAGAUAAACCAUAUAUGCUUCUUAACCAACCAAUUAGCUUGUUAUUACCAUAUUGAACCUUCUUUAAGAGAUCUUCUAUCACAGAGAUUGGAUUUCUACUAUUGGAAGGUCC
rnacentral:lncRNA from 1 species